CCCAUCGAUGAUGAUGAGCUCAUCUCCUACACCACCUCCGGCCUCGACAUGGAGUACCAACCUCUUGUCUCCGCCAAUGACGCCCGCACCGAGCCCAUCAGCAUCGACGAUCUCUACGCCCAGAUGAGCAACUUCGAUC
rfam:Triticum aestivum genome assembly, contig: Triticum_aestivum_CS42_TGACv1_scaffold_195383_3AL